GGUUGGUUUAUGGAUUCUUAUUUUAUAAGUAUAUAAAGUGUCUCACUUGUUUAUUCUCGCAAACACAUACUAAAACAUGACAUCAUGUGCACUCCAAAAUAGAGUAUUAAUUUUUACUGACCCUAUUUCUUUGAAAUUCCCGUGAGAUGGUGCUCAAGAAUUUUUUUGAUACUACUUUUCCUCUUUUCCUUCAUAUCGGAUAUCUCAAUUCUCAUCAGAACAUUUUUGCUGGUGGUGUUUGUCUUUCACGACUUUGGCAUUGAUAGCUCUCACGGUGAAGUUGUUUCUCGUGUUUUAUUCCUUCUUUACAUAGUCCUUUGUUAAUUGAGCAGGGGAGAUGACAAAGCCAUACUUAUCGACUAGGAGGCUAUGUGUAAUGUGUGUAUAUUAUCUCCAUCGAUCUAAAGGACCUAUAAAUUCAUUAGUCCUAUAUCUCUAAAUGGAGAUAUCUAUGAUGAGUGAGGACAUAUUUUGGCAAUAAUCUUUGUGCCAAGAACAACAUAAGUUUCUUUCAUGGCCUUUUUUCGAAUUUGACCAAUUGUCAUCCAUGUAUGGGGUAACAUUACUGCUUAUUUCUUAAAUUUGUAAUACUCUUGGCUAGUGUCGUCUCGGACACUUUCAAGGCUCGGAGCGAACUAAAAUUAAGCCCUUAAACAAGGGGGACAUAUUUCAUACAAUUCAUUAAUAUUUCAUUAUUUUUUAUUUCAACCAUAAAAAUACAAUCCAAAGAGGGAAAGAUAAAAAUGAUGAGAGAAAGGGAAUAGAGUAAGAUAAAAUUGUUGGAAUAGUUGGUUAAAUUAAGAAGAAUACUAUAUAAGAAAAAAAAAUUAUUCACAUUAAUUGAAGAACUUUUAAGAGUCAUAGCUAUGAGAAUUAGGAGCGUAAUAGUUGGGAACCAAAUGAAUUAAGAGAAAAAGGUUAAAGAUAGAAAAGUUUACUUAGAAGAAAAAACGAUCACAAAUUUCUUUUAAAGAAUUUAUUUUAAAAUAAAUCUGUUGAAGAUUUAGGGCCCUUAAUAAGGGGACACUAAGAAGUCACUAAAGGUGCUCCCCUUAUUAGUCAGUGCCACCAUUUCCAUUUUCAUCCGUUCAUCUAUAAUUUUUGCUAUACAUGUUCAACUUAUGUGGGGUGUGAGAGAGUGUAUACUCCAGUCCCCAUUCCCAUUAUUAUUUUUUUAAAUCAAAAAUUAAAAAUAUUUUAUUUUUUAAAAACAUAUCACUUUCUCCCUCCUUCCUUUCCCAAUACACAUCAGUAUCAUGCUACAAAUUUUUUUUAAUUGCCCAGUAUCCUUCACGGCUUCACGUAAUCACGUUCAGAUGUUGGAGUCCGUCGGACUCGGCCAUCGGGACACAUGCCGACCACGCGACCAGCCGACCACGCGACCAGCCGACCACGGACCACUGCGCUGCACGCCAGCACCGCUCCUCCGACCUCCGCGGCUCCGCGGCAGCCAUGAGCCAUCAGGAUACUCAUUCUAAGAAGAUACAUCUUCGUUUUACGAAGAUUAUUUCCUAAGCUACUCCAAAGUGAAGUGUGCUUGGCUGGAGUAGUCCAGGGCUGGGUGACCUUGCGAGAAGAUUCUUGGUGUGUGCGUGAGUAAGGAGAAAAUGUGGCGAAAGAAUUUGUAUUGGUUAUUAAGGACAUUUAUUGACCUUGGAUGCGCAUUGGUGAUGAUAGACUCGACUUCUUAUGGAUCAAGUGUUACAGAUGGUAUCCAAGCAAUCUUGCGAUCGUGUGAUAAUCAUGUAGAUAAUUAUGCAGGGUUAGUACGUAGUGGGGAAGAUUAUUGAGUUAUAUCACUACUUGUGGUCGAAUAUGUGAUUAGUAUCCAGGCUUGGGCGACCUAAGGUCGUUGUGGCCAAAUAUGUGGUUGUUGUAGUCGUUGGAGCAUUGUUGUCAUCAAGUAGGGUUGUAUGUAAUACCCGUCAUGAUUGCUUUAAAGAAGUUUUGCAUGCUACUCAUUCUAACAAGA